rnacentral:misc_RNA from 1 species
GAUGAAGAACGCAGCGAAAUGCGAUAAGUAAUGUGAAUUGCAGAAUUCAGUGAAUCAUCGAAUCUUUGAACGCACAUUGCGCCCGCCAGUAUUCUGGCGGGCAUGCCUGUUCGAGCGUCAUUACAACCCUCAGGUCCCCGGGCCUGGCGUUGGGGAUCGGCGGAAGCCCCCUGCGGGCACAACGCCGUCCCCCAAAUACAGUGGCGGUCCCGCCGCAGCUUCCAUUGCGUAGUAGCUAACACCUCGCAACUGGAGAGCGGCGCGGCCACGCCGUAAAACACCCAACUUCUGAAUGUUGACCUCGAAUCAGGUAGGAAUACCCGCUGAACUUAAGCAUAUCAAUAAGCGGAGGA